rnacentral:rRNA from 1 species
AAUUCGAUUGAGUUUGAUCAUGGCUCAGAGCGAACGCUGGCGGCAGGCUUAACACAUGCAAGUCGAACGGGCAUCCUUCGGGGUGUCAGUGGCAGACAGGUGAGUAACACGUGGGAACGUGCCCUUCGGUUCGGAAUAACUCAGGGAAACUUGAGCUAAUACCGGAUACGCCCUUACGGGGAAAGGUUUACUGCCGAAGGAUCGGCCCGCGUCUGAUUAGCUAGUUGGUGGGGUAAUGGCCUACCAAGGCGACGAUCAGUAGCUGGUCUGAGAGGAUGAUCAGCCACACUGGGACUGAGACACGGCCCAGACUCCUACGGGAGGCAGCAGUGGGGAAUAUUGGACAAUGGGCGAAAGCCUGAUCCAGCCAUGCCGCGUGAGUGAUGAAGGCCUUAGGGUUGUAAAGCUCUUUCGACGGGGACGAUAAUGACGGUACCCGUAGAAGAAGCCCCGGCUAACUUCGUGCCAGCAGCCGCGGUAAUACGAAGGGGGCUAGCGUUGCUCGGAAUCACUGGGCGUAAAGGGCGCGUAGGCGGCCGAUCAAGUCAGAGGUGAAAGCCCAAGGCUCAACCUUGGAAUUGCCUUUGAUACUGUUCGGCUAGAGACCGGAAGAGGUUAGUGGAACUGCGAGUGUAGAGGUGAAAUUCGUAGAUAUUCGCAAGAACACCAGUGGCGAAGGCGGCUAACUGGCCCGGUUCUGACGCUGAGGCGC